UAUGGCCACAUCAUGAUAAAACACUGGUUCCUGUACGAGCACCGAAGUUAAGCAACGUUGGUCCUGGUCAGUACCUAGAUGGGUGACCGCUUGCGAAUACCAAUUG